rnacentral:misc_RNA from 1 species
GAUGAAGAACGUAGCGAAAUGCGAUACGUAAUGUGAAUUGCAGAAUUCAGUGAAUCAUCGAGUCUUUGAACGCACAUUGCGCCCCCUGGUAUUCCGGGGGGCAUGCCUGUCCGAGCGUCAUUGCUGCCCUCAAGCACGGCUUGUGUGUUGGGCCUCCGUCCUCCUCCCGGGGGACGGGCCCGAAAGGCAGCGGCGGCACCGCGUCCGGUCCUCGAGCGUAUGGGGCUUCGUCACCCGCUCUUGUAGGCCCGGCCGGCGCUUGCCGACACAUCAAUCUUUUUUCCAGGUUGACCUCGGAUCAGGUAGGGAUACCCGCUGAACUAAAGCAUAUCAAUAAGCGGAGGA